ACGCUGGCGGCGUGCUUAACACAUGCAGGUCGAACGGGAGCCUUUAUUUCGGUAAAGGUGAGAGUGGCAAACGGGUGAGUACCACGGUAGGCAACCUGCCGCAGAUGGGGCACCAUUCCGAAAGGAAUGCUAAUACCGAAUGGAGUCCGAGGAUGGCAUCAUCCCCGGAUCAAAGAUGGCCUCUGAAUAUGCUAUCGCCUGUCGAUGGGCCUGCGUCUGAUUAGCCAGUUGGCGGGGUAACGGCCCACCAAAGCGACGAUCAGUAGCCGGUCUGAGAGGAUGAACGGCCACAUUGGGACUGAGACACGGCCCAGACUCCUACGGGAGGCAGCAGUGGGGAAUCUUCCACAAUGGGCGAAAGCCUGAUGGAGCAACGCCGCGUGAGUGAAGAAGGCUUCGGAUCGUAAAGCUCUGUUGCGCGGGACGAAAACCGAGCUUGAAAAUAUUGAGCUUGGGUGACGGUACCGAGCGAGGAAGCCCGGCUAACUCAA
rnacentral:rRNA from 1 species